rnacentral:misc_RNA from 1 species
AAGUCGUAACAAGGUUUCCGUAGGUGAACCUGCGGAAGGAUCAUUAAUACGUAUCCAAACGUUAAAACCCCCCCCGUGAACUAGGCCGUGCUCUGGAGGAACGAUGAAGACAGCAAUGCCUGUAAAUCAUAGCCGAAGGUUUUGAUUAGGCACCUCUGUUGCGUAAUCCUCGAGUCCAAUGUUGCGCUGGUAUCAGAGGCUGAUUUCCCCAAAAGGUGAAUGUUCUGAA